GAACGCGAAGAACCUUACCUGGGUUUGACAUGGAUCGGGAGUGCUCAGAGAUGGGUGUGCCUCUUUUGGGGUCGGUUCACAGGUGGUGCAUGGCUGUCGUCAGCUCGUGUCGUGAGAUGUUGGGUUAAGUUCCGCAACGAGCGCAACCCUUGUUCACUGUUGCCAGCACGUUAUGGUGGGGACUCAGUGGAGACCGCCGGGGUCAACUCGGAGGAAGGUGGGGAUGACGUCAAGUCAUCAUGCCCCUUAUGUCCAGGGCUUCACGCAUGCUACAAUGGCUGGUACAGAGAGUGGCGAGCCUGUGAGGGUGAGCGAAUCUCGGAAAGCCGGUCUCAGUUCGGAUUGGGGUCUGCAACUCGACCUCAUGAAGUCGGAGUCGCUAGUAAUCGCAGAUCAGCAACGCUGCGGUGAAUACGUUCCCGGGUCUUGUACACACC
rnacentral:rRNA from 1 species